GGGGGUGUAGCUCAGAGGUAGAGCGACGGUCUCCAAAGCCGGCAGCGCAGGUUCGAUCCCUGCCGCCCCCGCCC
rnacentral:tRNA from 1 species